CAGGUGUGCCUGUGGAGAGCUUGUCUGUGUGAAGAGCCUGUCUGCAUGUACAACGAAUUUUUGACAGAAAUGGUAGAAAGUCUGCCAAGGGACUAUUUGUUCAGAGUGAACAAAAGUGAGGAAACGUUUGAAAGUGUUGCAAAAGCCCUUAGCAGGUUCUACAGGGAGAACUGUAAGAAGGACUUCAAAUGCAAAGAUUACACUGAAGACAAAAGAAAUUCAGCAGUAUGUUACUUACUGGAAUGUCUGGAUGGGGAGGAACCUGAGUGUGUCUCCAAUGUCAGAUACAGUCUAGCUGAGGUAGAGUUGGUCAGUUUGAAAGGCUUCAAGUGUCUGGUUAAAGAUGCAUUCAAUCACAAAUAUAAUUCAUUACAACAAGUCAGAGAACAAGAUAAAGAAUGUGAUGAUGUUUUUGUUGAUGCAGUGUGAUGCCAAAAAGCAACUACACUUGUCUUGUCCCAUCGCUGCAACUCCCGUACGGACUUGGUAGAGGCGAAGGUCGAGAGCCAUGCGUCCUCCAAAACACAACCCUGCCAAGCUGCUCACUUAACCCAGAAGCCAGCUGCACCAAUGUGUCUGAGGAAACACCGUACAACUGGCAACCGUGUCACAGGAGUCGCUAGAACGCGAUGGGAGAGGGACAUCCCGGCCGGCCAAACCGGACGACGCUGGGCCAAUUGUGCACUGCCUCAUUAGUCUCCCGGUCACAUCCGGCUGCGACACAGCCUGGGAUCGAACCAGGGUCUAUAGUGACGCCUGCUAGCGGCCUUAGACCGCUGCGCCACUGGGGAGGCCCCAUGAUUAUGGCUUUUUGAGGUCA
rnacentral:lncRNA from 1 species